rnacentral:miRNA from 3 species
AAAGUUCUGUAGUGCACUGACU